GAGUUUAGGGUUUAGGGUUUAGGGUUUAGAGUUUAGGGUUUAGAGUUUAGGGUUUAGGGUUUAGGGUUUAGGGUUUAGGGUUUAGAGUUUAAGGUUUAGGGUUUAGGGUUUAGGGUUUAGGGUUUAGGGUUUAGGACUUAGGGUUUAGAGUUUUAGGGUUUAGUGUUUUUAUUUAGAGUUUAGGAUUUAUCCAAGGGUUUAGGGUUUAUCCAAGGGUUUAGAGUUUACCCA
rnacentral:lncRNA from 1 species